rnacentral:ncRNA from 1 species
UUCGAUGGUAGGAUAGUGGCCUACCAUGGUGGCAACAGGUAACGGGGGAGUUAGGGUUCGAUUCUGGAGAGGGAGCCUGAGAAACGGCUACCACAUCCAAGGAAGGCAGCAGGCGCGCAAAUUACCCAAUCCCAACACGGGGAGGUAGUGACAAUAAAUACUGAUACAGGGCUCUUUCGGGUCUUGUAAUUGGAAUGAGUACAAUAUAAAUCCCCUAACGACGGAGCAAUUGGAGGGCAAGUCUGGUGUCAGCAGCCGCGGUAAUACCAGCUCCACAUAGCGUAUAUUAAAGUUGUUGCAGUUAAAAAGCUCGUAGAUGAGCCCUGUGUCUGGCUGGCCCGGUUCGCUUCGCGGCGUGCACUGGUCCGGCUGGACCUUUCCUUCUGGGGAACCCUAUGGCCUUCACUGGCUGUAGGGGGAACCAGGACUUUUACUGUGAAAAAAUUAGAGUGUUCAAAGCAGGCCUUUGCUCGGAUACACUAGCAUGGAAUAAUAGAAUAGGACGUGUGUUUCUAUUUUGUUGGUUUCUAGGACCGCCGUAAUGAUUAAUAGGGAUAGUCGGGGGCGUCAGUAUUCGGCUGUCAGAGAUGUAUUUCUUGGAUUUGCUGAAGACUAACUACUGCGAAAACAUUCUCCAAGGAUGUUUUCUCUAAUCAGUGAACGAAAGUUAUGGGAUCGAAGACGAUCAGAGACCGUCGUAGUCUUUUCCAUAAACUAUGCCGACUAGGGAUCGGGCGGGCGCCUUUGAAUAUACCCGUUCGGCGCCUUACGAGAGAUCAAAAAUUUUUGGUUCUGGGGGGAGUAUGGUCUCAAGGCUGAAACUUAAAGAAAAUGACGGAAGGGCCCCACCAGGCGUGGGAGCUGCGGCUUAAUUUGACUCAACACGGGGAAACUCACCAGGUCCAGACAAAAUAAGGAUUGACAGAUUGAGAGCUCUUUCUUGAUCUUUUGGAUGGUGGUGCAUGGCCGUUCUUAGUUGGUGGAGUGAUUUGUCUGCUUAAUUGCGAUA